rnacentral:rRNA from 1 species
CAUCGCCACGGUAAUACGGAGGGUGCAAGCGUUAAUCGGAAUUACUGGGCGUAAAGCGCACGCAGGCGGUCUGACAAGUCAGAUGUGAAAUCCCCGGGCUUAACCUGGGAACUGCAUUUGAAACUGUCAGGCUGGAGUCUUGUAGAGGGGGGUAGAAUUCCAGGUGUAGCGGUGAAAUGCGUAGAGAUCUGGAGGAAUACCGGUGGCGAAGGCGGCCCCCUGGACAAAGACUGACGCUCAGGUGCGAAAGCGUGGGGAGCAAACAGGAUUAGAUACCCCUGUAGUCCCUGUCUCUUAUACC